AACCGGGCCUCUCCCCGAAUUAUGGAAAGUGCUUUUCCAAGCUUAGGCGCAAAAACCAAUCAGAAGUAAUAACCCGGAGAACUCGCAAUAAAACGAAUUUUAAUCAUUAGCGCCAUCUGUGCUUUGCUUUUACGAUCAACUACCCAUAUAAAAGCUAUAAGCUAGUCAAAUCGUAUGCGGUGUUAGAUUUAUUUCGGUUUUUGUCUAAUUUGUGUUCUUCGUUUUUCGAAACAUCUAAAAUUUCUGUUGAAACUGUUCUAUAAUCUCAUAUUUCUUGUCUUAUAUUAAAAAUACUUUUUCAACAACUCUAGCAAAAGUCGUUUAGAAAUUCCGGAACUGCUAAAAUUACAGCACCAUGAGCAAUGUUUGAUUCUGUUGAAUUAGAGCAGAAUAUUCUUUUUAAAAUAAUUAUUAGAAAAAUUAUUUUAUCAUUAUGUUAUUGUGACUUGUUAAGUAUAUUUGUUAUUGCGAAAUUUCUAACAGUACUGCCCCUAACUGGUUAUAAUUUUCAAGAUAAUUUGAGCGUAAUAAAAUAUAUUGUCAUGAACGUAAUAAAAGAUGUUUAAUGAUUGAAAUCAUCAUUUAGAUUCUAAAACUUUUUUCUUUAUUAUAAAUUUAGUUAGUGAUCCAAAGGGCUGUUAGAUGAGAGACCAAUAUUUGGAUAUGAGCUGUUGAAUUUAUAAAUGACUCUACAAGUCUCUAAAAUUUCCACUUAAUAUCUUAUGUCUACAUCUUGAUAUCUUACAUCUUAUUUACUUCAAGGAAAACUUCUUUAAAAUAACAACAAUCAGUAAUUAAAAUUUUAUAUUUGGAGAAAUAUUAAAGAUGACUGGACUUCUACUAUUGUCAUUCUUUUUACUUUAAAGGUCUGAGAUGAAAAUUAAUCUGCAGAUGCACUGAUAUUCUGCAAAGCCAACUGUCACACUGGAGGGUUUCUUCUAUUAGAUUUCAAUCCAAGUAAUUGAUAUUAUGCUCUGGCCUGUUGAAGCUGCAAUUGAAGAUUUUGUACUCUGACUUGAGCCUCAUAAUUUGCGAGAAUCUUUAAAUGCUUGAAGGCUUCAUUAACUGUGUUCAGAGUCUAAAACUAAUCCCAGAUAUUUAGGGUCAUUGACAUGGUCAACGUUGACGGUUAGCUUUUUUCUCGUAAUAAAACCUGUUUUUUAUCAGUUGAGAAGACAGAAGGCCUAAGUAGUAGAAUUGUUAAAACAUACAAAAUUGUAAAAUCUACUACUAAUUAAACUCUUCCAAACUUUUCUAUAUGAUAUAUUCUAAGAUUAAUACAGUUCAUUGAAAUUCUUUUGUCUAACGUACUUUAAAGUGAGUACUUUUUACAAAAAUUUUAAAACUUGCUCUAAAUCUUUUUUUAACGUAUUAACAUAUUAUGCACUAGGGGUGCAAUGAUUGACCCGCCUCCACGUGGCGCACCCUGGGCAACGCAUCCUUGCUGCUGAGUGGUCUUUCGCUUUUGGCAAUGCUCAAAUUUUCAUUUACAUCAAAAAACUAACGUUUCAAUAUUCUCUCCUUAAUUUACUAUUAUUUUAAUAUGCAACAAUACAUUCAUAGAAACAUAAAAGAAAGCACUUCAAGAUAUAGAAACUGAUACAGCUGAAAAUACUUUUGUGAUUGAUAGAAAAAAUAAAAUGUACUCAAGCAUAUUAUAAAAUAAUUUUGUCAAUUUUCAUACUAACUGCCCACCUUAGUGUAAAGUAUUCCCGCAACACACCCCGUUGAGGGUCUUUCCUCCCUAGACUAGCUGGUUUCAUUUGAUAGGCUUCAAGUCGUCAUUGCAGAUUGAACCUCAUUCCUACAUUAUAAAAGCUCAGUGUCUUACAUCUGAAUGAAAGGACAAUUGACUGUUGUCGUUUAACUGGCCACUUUUGGCGUGUCAAAAUAUAUAUAUAUUUUUUAAAUGACGUUUAUCUUAAUUGUAAAAAAAUUUUAAUGCUUUUACAAAGCUAAGGAGUGGAAUUUCCAUUUGGUACUUCUAGGAGUGGAAUUUCCACUUGGUAAAUUCUUGCUUUACUGAUAAGUUUCAAGUGUAGUUUGUAUUAUAUAUUUAUAUAUAAAAUCAAAUUUUCCUAGUACGUAUGCUAAUAACAAUUCAAAAUCCAUUUUCAACAUUAUAUGAUUUUAAAAUAAGAUAAAAUGGCUGCACAUUGUUUGUGGGUUGUAUCAGUCUAACACGGAGUUAUUAUCCUUAAAAUGGACUUGAUAUGAAUGACAGAUUUCGUUAGAAAUUCAGCCUGAGUUUAGAAAGGACAGUAUCUGUUAAUUUUCAUGUUGAUGAACUGUAAAAGAGACGCCUGACUUGGAGAUAGAGAUGGUCCUGUCUUUUAAUUGGUAAUUAUGUAUUCUUUCUACUAAAGCCGAUGACAAGAAGAAGGUGAUAUGAGCCGAGGUAUGUUUUCACGAAUAAAAAUAUCCCCAAGAUCAAAGUGAAAGAUAAAUCUUUAUUUAUAUUAACUCCCAAUAAAUUUUCAAAAUCUUA